AAUGUUCUAAGUCACCGGCUCUGGAGCUUCUUUGCACUUUGGAACCAACUUGCGGGAAGGAACUUUAAAAAUACUGAUAUCUCGAUCCAUCCCCAGAGGUUCUGAUUUAAUGGUCUUGGGGAUAUGGCCACGGCAUGAGGACUGUUAAAACUCCGCAGGUGAUUCUUAUGUGCAACAAAGUUUAAGAACCACUGAUGUAGGCCAUGUCGAUGUCAGUCUUCACUUAAAUCCAACAAGACCCCAGAGCUAAAACGUUCACCUGAAAGAAACCCCAUUCCCAGGCCUGCAUACUGACCUGCGCUGGCUCACAAGAAGCAAAGUGGUCCCUUAACAGGGGCUUCCUGGAGAAAAUGUCUUGACCUAAAAGAGUGAUUCGAGCUGCAGGGAUUUAAGCCUACUCAUUGUGAAGAGGAUGAUGCGGAUGAAGACCUUUAUGAUGAUCCACUUCCACUUAAUGAACCGUAUAUCUAUUUUCUUUUCCUUAUGAUUUUCUUAAUGACAUUUUCUUUUCC
rnacentral:lncRNA from 1 species